GAGUUUGAUCGUGGCUCAGAGCGAACGCUGGCGGCAGGCCUAACACAUGCAAGUCGAACGGCUCGUUCGGAGCAGGUGGCGGACGGGUGAGUAACGCGUGGGAACGUCGCCCUUUGGUUCGGGAACAAACACAGGGAAACUUAGUGCUAAUACCGGACUGUGCCCUUCGGGGAAAGGAGUUUAUACGCCAUUUGGAGCGGCCCGCGUUGGAUUAGGUAGUUGGUGGGGUAAAGGCCACCAAGCCGACGAUCCAUAGCUGGUCUGAGAGGAUGAUCAGCCACACUGGGACUGAGACACGGCCCAGACUCCUACGGGAGGCAGCAGUGGGGAAUCUUGCGCAAUGGGCGAAAGCCUGACGCAGCCAUGCCGCGUGAAUGAUGAAGGUCUUAGGAUUGUAAAAAUUCUUUUCACCGGGGAAGAUAAUGACGGUACCCGGAGAAGAAGCCCCGGCUAACUUCGUGCCAGCAGCCGCCGUAAC
rnacentral:rRNA from 1 species